rnacentral:rRNA from 1 species
UACGAAGGGGGCUAGCGUUGUUCGGAAUUACUGGGCGUAAAGCGCGUGUAGGCGGGUCUUUAAGUCAGGGGUGAAAUGCCAAGGCUCAACCUUGGAACUGCCUUUGAUACUGGAGAUCUUGAGUCCGGGAGAGGUGAGUGGAAUUGCGAGUGUAGAGGUGAAAUUCGUAGAUAUUCGCAAGAACACCAGUGGCGAAGGCGGCUCACUGGCCCGGAACUGACGCUGAUGCACGAAAGCUAGGGGAGCAAACAGG